rnacentral:rRNA from 1 species
GACGAACGCUGGCGGCGUGCUUAACACAUGCAAGUCGAACGAAGUGGCGAACGGGUGAGUAACGGGUAAUCAACCUGCCCUUCAGAGGGGGACAACAGGUGGAAACGACUGCUAAUACCGUAUACUGAAGGAGGGGAUUGCGUUUGAUUAGCUAGUUGGAGGGGUAACGGCCCACAAAGGCGAUGAUCAGUCGCCGGUCUGGGAGGAUGAACGGCCACAUUUGGACUGAGACACGGCCCAGACUCCUACGGGAUGCAGCAGGGGGGAAUCUUCCGCAAUGGACGAAAGUCUGACGGAGCAACGCCGCGGGAGUGAUGACGGCCUUCGGGUUGUAAAGCUCUGUUAAUCGGGACGCGGUACCGGAAUAGAAAGCCACGGCUAACUACGUGCCAGCCGCCGCGGUAAUUC